AGUGAACGCUGGCGGUAGGCCUAACACAUGCAAGUCGAACGGCAGCACAGUAAGAGCUUGCUCUUACGGGUGGCGAGUGGCGGACGGGUGAGGAAUACAUCGGAAUCUACUUUUUCGUGGGGGAUAACGUAGGGAAACUUACGCUAAUACCGCAUACGACCUACGGGUGAAAGCAGGGGAUCUUCGGACCUUGCGCGAUUGAAUGAGCCGAUGUCGGAUUAGCUAGUUGGCGGGGUAAAGGCCCACCAAGGCGACGAUCCGUAGCUGGUCUGAGAGGAUGAUCAGCCACACUGGAACUGAGACACGGUCCAGACUCCUACGGGAGGCAGCAGUGGGGAAUAUUGGACAAAGGGCGCAAGCCUGAUCCAGCCAUACCGCGUGGGUGAAGAAGGCCUUCGGGUUGUAAAGCCCUUUUGUUGGGAAAGAAAAGCAGCAGGUUAAUACCCCGCUGUUCUGACGGUACCCAAAGAAUAAGUACCGGCUAACUUCGUG
rnacentral:rRNA from 1 species